AAUCAAUCACGUGUAUUGUGCAAAUUUUUAUUCAAUUUCAACAACAGGCAUUUGUCUUUAAGGUGUCCAAAAUGCCUAGAGGACGACGUGCCAACAUCGGCCGCCGCACAAGCAUGCAAGCCAGCAACAAGUGUAUUCACAGAACUUAAGCAAAGAAAGACAAAAUAUUAUAUAAUAAGUGAAAAU